AGUUAAUGAACUUGAUAUAAGUAUAUAUUUUGAAAAUAUAAUAAAGGAAAUACCUAUUAACUU
rnacentral:tRNA from 1 species